rnacentral:rRNA from 1 species
CGGCGGGCUUAACACAUGCAAGUCGAAGGAGAAGGUAAUUGCUUGCAAUUACUGGAGACUGGCGGACGGGUGAGUAACGCGUAGAUAACCUGCCUUUGCCUGGGGGAUAACACUGGGAAACUGGUGCUAAUACCGCAUAAUGCAGCGGGGCCGCAUGGCCAUAGUUGUUAAAGGUUUCGGCCGGGUAAAGAUGGGGCUGCGUGCUAUUAGUUAGUUGGUAAGGUAACGGCUUACCAAGGCGAUGAUAGUUAGGGGGUCUNNNNNNNNNNCGCAAUGGGCGAAAGCCUGACGCAGCCACGCCGCGUGCCGGAAGACGGCCCUAUGGGUUGUAAACGGCUUUUGCCAGGGAAGAACGAGGAGGUUUCGACCUCCUGUGACGGUACCUGGUGAAUAAGCACCGGCUAACUCCGUGCCAGCAGCCGCGGUAAUACGGAGGGUGCAAGCGUUGUCCGGAAUCAUUGGGUGUAAAGGGUGCGUAGGCGGACUGCUAAGUCUGGGGUGAAAUCUUGCCGCUUAACGGUAAAAUGGCCUUGGAUACUGGCAGUCUUGAGUGUAGAAGAGGCAGGUGGAAUUCGUAGUGUAGCGGUGAAAU